rnacentral:rRNA from 1 species
GACGAACGCUGGCGGCGUGCCUAAUACAUGCAAGUCGAGCGGAUGACAGAGGAGCUUGCUCCUCUAGAUUCAGCGGCGGACGGGUGAGUAACACGUGGGCAACCUGCCCUGUAGAUUGGGAUAACUCCGGGAAACCGGGGCUAAUACCGAAUAAUCCUUCGGACCUCAUGGUCCGAUGUUGAAAGACGGCUUCGGCUGUCACUACAGGAUGGGCCCGCGGCGCAUUAGCUAGUUGGUGAGGUAACGGCUCACCAAGGCCACGAUGCGUAGCCGCCCUGAGAGGGUGAUCGGCCACACUGGGACUGAGACACGGCCCAGACUCCUACGGGAGGCAGCAGUAGGGAAUCUUCCACAAUGGACGAAAGUCUGAUGGAGCAACGCCGCGUGAGUGAAGAAGGUUCUCGGAUCGUAAAACUCUGUUGUGAGGGAAGAACAAGUACCGGAGUAACUGCCGGUACCUUGACGGUACCUCAUUAGAAAGCCACGGCUAACUACGUGCCAGCCGCCGCAGUAAGAC